rnacentral:rRNA from 1 species
UACGGGGGGGCAAGCGUUGUUCGGAAUUACUGGGCGUAAAGGGCUCGUAGGUGGCCAACUAAGUCAUACGUGAAAUCCCUCAGCUUAACUGGGGAACUGCGUCUGAUACUGGAUGGCUUGAGGUUGGGAGAGGGAUGCGGAAUUCCAGGUGUAGCGGUGAAAUGCGUAGAUAUCUGGAGGAACACCGGUGGCGAAGGCGGCAUCCUGGACCAAUUCUGACGCUGAGGAGCGAAAGCCAGGGGAGCAA